rnacentral:rRNA from 1 species
CGGGUGAGUAACGCGUGGGUAACCUGCCUUAUACUGGGGGAUAACAGCCAGAAAUGGCUGCUAAUACCGCAUAAGCGCACAGAACCGCAUGGUUCGGUGUGAAAAACUCCGGUGGUAUAAGAUGGACCCGCGUUGGAUUAGCUAGUUGGCAGGGCAGCGGCCUACCAAGGCGACGAUCCAUAGCCGGCCUGAGAGGGUGAACGGCCACAUUGGGACUGAGACACGGCCCAG